GCACCUCGCGCCGUCGCGCGUCCCUCCUCCUGUCGCCGACCAUCCUCGCCUUCACUGGACCACUCUUCACUCUUCGCUUUCGCGUACCCCCUUGUCGCUUUCGACUUCAACGACGGACCAGCUGCAGCUCUCGGCUACCAUCUCCAUUCUCUACCUCAUCCUCGUCCAGUCUCGUCCUCCAUCUCCAAAUCUCCAUUGCAGACCCGCUAAGCUGAAGAUCUUGGCAUCUCGAGUCUCGCACUCUCAGUCUCGUCGCUUUCCGUGAGUUCGUGUUUGGCUGACACCAAAUGUUGAGCCGAAGCAUCCAAUUGGUAUCAAUCCCGUGGCUGAGGCAGACAAUGGCAUCAAUUCCCUACCAUCUAAGUUUUCUAUUGAAGCUGGUAUGCUUAGAUUGGCCGAACUUCACCUUCCUUCUAAGUUGCAAAGUUAUGCAGCAAGCACCAUAAUGAAUGGUGGAGAGGAAUUCUUUCGACAAGUCUUCAUAAUGCUUCCACCCAGAAGAGCUGUGAUCUACUUCCUCAACUAUCACAUGAGAAGGAGCUGGGCAUAGACUAGUAUUUUUAAUUUUCUACAUUUUAACAACUGUGUUCAUUGAGCUUAAUCAUGUUAAUGUUAUUGACUCUCUCUAUGUUUUGAUAUUUUAUACAUUUUAAUGACUAUUAGCCUAACUAGCUUUUGUUGAUUAGUCCCA